UACGUAGGGACCAAGCGUUGUUCGGAUUUACUGGGCGUAAAGGGCGCGUAGGCGGCGUGUUAAGUCAGCUGUGAAAUCUCCAAGCUUAACUUGGAACGGUCAGCUGAUACUGAUGUGCUAGAGUGCAGAAGGGGCAAUCGGAAUUCUUGGUGUAGCGGUGAAAUGCGUAGAUAUCAAGAGGAACACCUGAGGUGAAGACGGGUUGCUGGGCUGACACUGACGCUGAGGCGCGAAAGCAUGGGUAGCGAACAGG
rnacentral:rRNA from 1 species